rnacentral:rRNA from 1 species
AUUGAACGCUGGCGGCAUGCUUUACACAUGCAAGUCGAACGGUAACAGCACUUCGGUGGCUGACGAGUGGCGCACGGGUGAGUAAUACAUCGGAACGUGCCUAGUAGUGGGGGAUAACUCCUCGAAAGAGUAGCUAAUACCGCAUGAGAUCUAAGGAUGAAAGCGGGGGACCUUCGGGCCUUGCGCUACUAGAGCGGCUGAUGGCAGAUUAGGUAGUUGGUGGGAUAAAAGCUUACCAAGCCGACGAUCUGUAGCUGGUCUGAGAGGACGACCAGCCACACUGGGACUGAGACACGGCCCAGACUCCUACGGGAGGCAGCAGUGGGGAAUUUUGGACAAUGGGCGCAAGCCUGAUCCAGCAAUGCCGCGUGCAGGAUGAAGGCCUUCGGGUUGUAAACUGCUUUUGUACGGAACGAAAAGCCCUCUUCUAAUACAGGAGGGUCAUGACGGUACCGUAAGAAUAAGCACCGGCUAACUACGUG